GCUUCGAUGGUCUAAUGGUUAGGAUUCCACACUUCCAUAAGUGUCAUGUGGAGGUCCGUGUUCAAUUCACGGUCGAUGCA